rnacentral:lncRNA from 1 species
CUACUAUAAACAACACUGUAAAAACAUGGAGUGGAAGUAUCAAAAGUUGAAUAUUUCCUUGUGGCUUUAGUUAUUCCUAGGCAUGUUUGGAGAUUUAAAUAUUUGGAUAUUCAAAUAUCAAAAAGCCAAAGACCUAAUAAAGAAGUUUCCUAUUCUACAUGUGACAUAUGUUUAUCACUUUUCCUGAUUUGCCAUUCUGAGGAAACAAUGGAGAAAGUAAAUGUUCCCCUGUUAUAUAGCAUUGCUGUGUACAUACGUAAGAUGUAUUUCAAAUUAAGGAGAAACCUCUGGGACUGGGUGUGGUGGCUCAUGCCUGUAAUCCCAGCACUCUGGAAAGUCAGGGUAGGAGGAUCUCCUGAGGUUAGGAGUUUCAGACCAGCCUGGGCAACAUAGCAAGACCCUGUCUCUAUAAGAGAAAACAAAUUAGCCAGGUGUGGUGGUGCAUGCCUGUAGUCCUAGCUACUCAGGAGGCUGAGGUGGGAGGAUUGCUUGAACCCAGGAGUUUGAGGCUGCAGUGAGCUAUGUUUGUACCACUGUACUCCAGCCUGGGUGACAGAGCAAGACCUUGGCUCUAAGAGGGGGGGAUAAAAAAGGAGAAACCUCUGUAGAAGAUGCUACCAGCACCCACUUCACCCUGACCACUUGAGAGCCUGCCACCCUGCCUUCUAAGUGCCAGCCCCAGCAUUUCUUUGGCUGCUGAAGCCAGCAUUGUUUACCUAUGCAGCAGAUCAGCUGUGCAGAGGAUUAAUGUCAUAAGUGCAGUUCACCAGCAAUGGCUCACAGGAGUCUGGGGCUAGCUCCCACACCCCCUGGAACCUGCAUUUUCCCCCAUAUCCCGGAGUUUCUCCAGCAGGAUUACAUGCCAGUCACCCACAGCAGGAUCUGGCUUGGGAACAUUUCUUCCUCCACUGCCUUACCUUCCCUAUCUCCUUCCCUCAUCCCCUCCUCCUAUUAUUGGUCUUUCCUUCCCUUCCAACAUAAAUUCCCUGCACUCAAAUUCCUGCUCAGAGUCUGCUCCAAGGGAACCCAAGCUUAGACACCCUCCAAAGAGUGGAAGGAAAUCUUGUCCUAGGUUUUGACAAUAUUAUAUUUGUAAUAUGACUAGUUCUUGCUUUUCACAAAAACAAGGAAUAUUGCCUACUCUGCCCAUUGUGUCAACCAAUAUCAAGAAAUCCUUUGCUCCAUGAGGAUGCA